UGCAUGUCGAGCGAGGUUGUUUAAACCUAGCGGCGAAUGGGUGAGUAACACGUACUUAACGUACCCUUUAGAUUGGGAUAACGAUGAGAAAUUAUCGCUAAUACCGGAUACUUAUAUUAAUCGCAUGAUUAAUAUAUAAAAGAAGCCUUCAAGCUUCACUAGAGGAUCGGGGUGCGCAACAUUAGCUAGUUGGUAAGGUAAUGGCUUACCAAGGCGAUGAUGUUUAACGGGGUUGAGAGACUGAACCGUCACACUGGGACUGAGAUACGGCCCAGACUCCUACGGGAGGCAGCAGUAGGGAAUUUUCCACAAUGGGCGAAAGCCUGAUGGAGCGACACAGCGUGCAGGAUGAAGGCCUUCGGGUUGUAAACUGCUGUUAUUUAGGAUGAAAAAAUAAAUGAGGAAAUGCAUUUAUCUUGACAGUACUAAAUCAGAAAGCAACGGCUAACUAUGUGCCAGCAGCCGCGGUAAUACAUAGGUUGCAAGCGUUAUCCGGAAUUAUUGGGCGUAAAGCGUCUGUAGGUUGUGUGUUAAGUCUGGCGUCAAAACUUGGGGCUCAACCCCAAAUCGCGUUGGAUACUGGCACGCUAGAAUUGUGUAGAGGUUAACGGAAUUCCUUGUGAAGCGGUGAAAUGCGUAGAUAUAAGGAAGAACAUCAACAUGGCGAAGGCAGUUAACUGGGCACAUAUUGACACUGAGAGACGAAAGCGUGGGGAGCAAACAGGAUUAGAUACCCUGGUAGUCCACGCCGUAAACGAUGAUGAUUAGCUGAUGGAAACCAUCGGCGCAGCUAACGCAUUAAAUCAUCCGCCUGAGUAGUAUGCUCGCAAGAGUGAAACUUAAAGGAAUUGACGGGGAUCCGCACAAGCGGUGGAGCAUGUGGUUUAAUUUGAAGAUACGCGUAGAACCUUACCCACUCUUGACAUCUUCCGCAAAGCUAUAGAGAUAUAGUGGAGGCUAACGGAAUGACAGAUGGUGCAUGGUUGUCGUCAGCUCGUGUCGUGAGAUGUUCGGUUAAGUCCUGCAACGAGCGCAACCCUUGUCCUUAGUUAGAUGAUCUAAGGAAACUGCCCGGGUAACUGGGAGGAAGGUGGGGACGACGUCAAAUCAUCAUGCCUCUUACGAGUGGGGCAACACACGUGCUACAAUGGAUGGUACAAAGAGACGCAAUACGGCGACGUGGAGCAAAUCUCAAAAAACCAUUCUCAGUUCGGAUUGUAGUCUGCAACUCGACUACAUGAAGUCGGAAUCGCUAGUAAUCGUAGAUCAGCUACGCUACGGUGAAUACGUUCUCGGGUCUUGUACACACCGCCCGUCACACCAUGGGAGCUGGUAAUGCCCGAAGUCGGUUUUGUUAACUACGGAGACAACUGCCUAAGGCAG
rnacentral:rRNA from 1 species